rnacentral:tRNA from 5 species
GGCCGGAUAGCAAAUCGGUUAUGCAGUGGAUUGCAAAUCCAUCUAGACCAGUUCGAUUCUGGUUCCGGCCUCCA